AGCUUCGGAGCUGAUGGAGAGACAGAAAGCACGCAACUGGAAAAAUUCAAACAUGGAAUUCAUGGAUUAAAUGGUCACCAAUUGUUUCAGCAUUGCGUAUUGAAUAAUACAACCUUCUUCCACUGCCGUGAAAUGUCAACAGCUGCUCUCCCACUAGAUAGGGCGUAGCUUUCCACAGACGUGAAAACAUUGCUGUGGUCCAUCUCUAUUUACUGCAAGCAGAAAGGUCAAGACAGAAAACAUAGAGGCUUUUAGUAGGAGAAAGAAAGGCUCCAGAUUUGUUUCCUGGUAUUGCUGCUAUUGGUAUUACUGUCAUUAUUAUUAUUUUAUUAUUAUUAUUUUAUCAUCAUCAACAGCAUCAUCAUUAUUAUUACUAUUAAUACUUUUUUUACAAUUAAAGUACAUUGGUGAAUCUUUAAUGUUCAUCUAUUGAAAUAGCUACAGUGCAAGACAAAGAGAGGCCUUCAUGCAUGGUGUGCAUUUGCCACCUAGCGACCACACUGA
ensembl:processed_transcript